ensembl:lincRNA 5031425F14Rik RIKEN cDNA 5031425F14 gene
AGGAGAGCCACAGACUCCAGAAGCAACACAUGACCAUUGGCCUCCCCAGAACUUCCUGGGACUUGCCUCACACCCUGCUUUCACGCUCUAGGCUCCUUUCUUUCUCUGGUGAUAUUUCCUCCCAAUAACUCUGAGCUGGAGCAGCCCUGAGCUGGAGAGACUCUGAACUGGAGCAGCCCUGAGCUGGAGCAGCCCUAUGCUGGAGGGACCCUGAGCUGGAGCAGCCCUGUGCUGGAGGGACCCUGAGCUGGAGCAGCCCUGUGCUGGAGGGACCCUGAGCUGGAGCAGCCCUGUGCUGGAGGGACCCUGAGCUGGAGCAGCCUUGUGCUGGAGAGACCCCGAGCUGGAACAGCCCCGAGCUGGAACAGUCCCGAGCUGCCUCUCUUGUUAGGAGUGAGCUGGUUUAUCUGUGGGUCACGGAGGUGUACUGAGCUCCAUCUGCAGAUCAGUUAAUCGCUAACAAAUGUGGGCGAGUUUUCACCCAGCACAGACCACAGGCCGUGUCUCAGACGCUUUGCCAAGCCAUUUUGGAGCUGUAAGCAACUGGCCUGCUUCCAAGCUGAAUCUGUUCUGGCACACAGAGGCCAUGAGCCUGUGAAGCUCUGACUCUGGCACUGGGAUUGGGUUCGUGAGGAAUCAUGAGCCAUGAGAUGGCCUCCAGUCGGUCAGCAGGGCAGGAAGGGACUAGGACUCAGGAUUAGGGGCCGAGUCAUCACUGACCUUCACAGCGACCUCUGCACUGGCAGAGGUGGGAAGUGGGGUUUUCAGAACGCCUGCUUCGGUUGCUGGGCACUCUGCUUGGUUAGAGAGAUGGUGCUUCCGGAUUUCUGCUUGAAUGGUUUCCUCUACUCCCAUCCCUGAGUGCUCUCCCUGCCUGCAACCCACCUCUCAACACAUCCACUCAGGACAAGAUGGAUGAGGAUGAGACUAAUAGCUUCCAGGUGUGGCCUGGCUUCUGGGGUCUCCAUGUUCAUAUUGGGGCAUUAAUAAGCUUCUGCAUCGAGAGUGGUCUAGCUCAGCAUAGUCCAGACUGUAGUCCACAGAUGUGAGAGGCACCGAGACAAGAGGCCUUCAGCUCCAGUUAUAAGACUGUGCUUUGUUACGAGCAGAGCAGACGCUGUCUGUGGGGACCCUAGUUCUGGACUCUCAUCAGGACGUUGGCAUCAGUGAACGCAUCUCAGACCUUUACUGAGGUAGUCACCGUUUUAAUCUGUCGGUCGUGAUUACAGUUGACAGACUCAAAAUAAAAAUUAAGAAAGUAUGAUAGGAAGAGCUCAUAGCUUGUGCCCUUAAAGGGAUCGACUUCAGACAUGGCUGGAUCCAGGCACUCGAAUGGCAGGAUCAGGGAAACAACCCCUCCAUCUCUCCCUCCCACCAUUUUGGUUGUCAGUGGUUUCUCCCCUCUCAGGGUAGUUCUGUUCUUGUACUUGUUUCCAUUUUCAGGAGCCCUAGGAGAAAGGCAUUUUUUUUUAUCCCAAAAUUUAAACCUAAGUACAAAAUAUGAGUCUUACAUAUCUGUCUCUAACCCAGUCUCUGAAGCCAAGGGCCCGGCAUCCACCGAUGGCUCAACGCCUCUACUGUUGUAGACAGAAACCCCAAAUUCAAACUUUUGCAACACACAGUCUAGAAAGAGGAAGGAGGGGAGUCAGCUAGUCGGGUUCCGUGAGCUUCUUGAGACAAGCUGGAAGGUGACAUGGGCCACACAGAAUUAAGGGAA